rnacentral:miRNA from 10 species
CAGGAUCACAGACGUUUAAAUUACACUCCUUCUGCUGUGCCUUACAGCAGUAGAAGGGGUGAAAUUUAAACGUCUGUGAUCCUG